CAUGUCCUAAAUACCUCAGCAGGGACGUCUGCACACACUUACCUGCAAGCAACGCUUCCCUUGGCUGUUAAAGGCACUUUUGUUUCUGAGAGAGAGGUAUUUUUCCAUCGACACGAGUGAAGCUGUGUUCUACCCAGCCUGACCACUCCGACUGCAGCUACAGCCCUACACAGAAGGAUGAAUCUGGCACUAGCACUGACCUUGGCUCCUUCCCGGUGAUGGUGACCUUUACUCAGCUCAGUACUAACAGUCGUUCACCUGAUAGCUCCUGACUUACUGGAGAUAAAUCCCCUCUCAGCAGCCCAGGGACGGGCAUGCGAAGGGCACAGGGAGGAAGGGUGAGAACAAAACAGACCUUGUGUUGCAAAAAAAGGACUCACUGCUAGCUCUUCGCUGGCAUUCUGCGUCUACCAGGCUAAGCCCUUGCCCUCCAUUCUCCCAGCAGAGAACAAAAAGUGCUAAAUGGAUAUCACGGAAACAAGGAAG